GACGAACGCUGGCGGCGUGCUUAACACAUGCAAGUCGAACGAGUGGCGAACGGGUGAGUAACCCGUGGGUGAUCUGCCUUGCCCUUGGGGAUAAGCUUGGGAAACUGGUUCUAAUCCCGGAUAGUCCAAGAGGAGCUCGCGGCCUGUGCGCUUGUUGGUGGGGUAAUGGCUACCAAGGGGCGACGAGUAGCCGGCCUGAGAGGGUGUACGGCCAAAUUGGGACUGAGAUACGGCCCAGACUCCUACGGGAGGCAGCAGUGGGGGAUAUUGCACAAUGGGCGCAAGCCUGAUGCAGCGACGCCGCGUGAGGGAUGAAGGCUUUCGGGUUGUAAACCUCUUUCGGUACAGAACGGGUAUGUGCAGAAGAAGCGCCGGCUAACUACGUGCCAGCAGCCGCGGUAAUAC
rnacentral:rRNA from 1 species